AAUAAUGGUUGUUUUUUUGCAAGUUGGGCCGAUUCGGCCUGGCGACAUAGCCAAAUUGCAGGGAGCUCCUAAAGCUCAGUGGUACUAACCAGCGGUGGAAACACGGUUGGGGCCUGUGUUAGCAGCACAGGGGAUAGUAAAAAGUCACUGAGAUGUUACAAUGGGCAAUCCGCAGCAAAGCCUCUAAGGGUCUCCGGGCCUACGGGGAAUGUUCACAGACUAAAUGGUGAUGGGAUAUCCUAACCGGAUGUUCUAAGAGAUAGUCGGUCCUCGGGGGAAACCUCGAGGCGUCAAGUCACGGAGGACGCCCGCCGUCCUCCAUCAUAAGAAACGUUCCGUAGGUGAACCUGCGGAAGGAUCAUUACAGAGUUCAUGCCCUUCGGGGUAGACCUCCCACCCUUGUGUAUUUAUACCAUGUUGCUUUGGCGGGCCGCCGCAAGGCUACCGGCUCCGGCUGGUACGUGCCCGCCAGAGGACCCAAACCCUGAAAUUAGUGUCGUCCGAGUACUAUAUAAUAGUUAAAACUUUCAACAACGGAUCUCUUGGUUCUGGCAUCGAUGAAGAACGCAGCGAAAUGCGAUAAGUAAUGUGAAUUGCAGAAUUCAGUGAAUCAUCGAAUCUUUGAACGCACAUUGCGCCCCUUGGCAUUCCGGGGGGCAUGCCUGUUCGAGCGUCAUUUCAACCCUCACGCCUGGCGUGGUAUUGGGCCUUUCGCGGGGUUUUUGGACCCCGCGGGCCUCAAAGCAAGUGGCGGUGCCGUC
rnacentral:misc_RNA from 1 species